GACGAACGCUGGCGGCGUGCUUAACACAUGCAAGUCGAACGGAAAGGCCCUGCUUUUGUGGGGUGCUCGAGUGGCGAACGGGUGAGUAACACGUGAGUAACCUGCCCUUGACUUUGGGAUAACUUCAGGAAACUGGGGCUAAUACCGGAUAGGAGCUCCUGCUGCAUGGUGGGGGUUGGAAAGUUUCGGCGGUUGGGGAUGGACUCGCGGCUUAUCAGCUUGUUGGUGGGGUAGUGGCUUACCAAGGCUUUGACGGGUAGCCGGCCUGAGAGGGUGACCGGCCACAUUGGGACUGAGAUACGGCCCAGACUCCUACGGGAGGCAGCAGGGGGGAAUAUUGCACAAUGGGCGGAAGCCUGAUGCAGCAACGCCGCGUGCGGGAUGACGGCCUUCGGGUUGUAAACCGCUUUCGCCUGUGACGAAGCGUGAGUGACGGUAAUGGGGAAAGAAGCACCGGCUAACUACGU
rnacentral:rRNA from 1 species